GGUCCUACAGGGUAGAAAAAAUUGAACAGACAGGUCGUGGUUCGAGCGGCAGGUCGUAGUUGGAGGGGGGUCCUCACCUUGCAGGUUGCAGUCUCUCGGGAUGCCUCGCAGAAGUUAACUGGAGCCAACCCGGGGAGGUAGAAAGCUGCGCUGCGGGAAGCCUGAAGCCCCAGGAACAGCCCCAGCCCCAGCAGCCACCUCAGCCCGGGCCGGACGAGCCCGAGGCGCCAGGGGUUGGUUCCCAUGCGGAAACGAGUACUCAUUUUAGGAACCGCCUCAGGGCUCGGGAACACACACCAGAAGGCGAGAUUGAACCAGUGGAAGGGAGAAGCGGGAAUGAUAAGGAAGAACCGUGGACCGGGAGGAGCCUAGACCGGCUGGUUGGACGAGAACUCCUGGGAAGGCCACUUAUUCCGGCGAGACAGUGGCUUGGAACCCGUUGCUAGGGCGCCAGGCAGUGUUUGCGAGCGCAUUCAAUACGCAUGCGUGCGGAUCCCCGCUGCGCCUUCCACCCCCUCCCCGCCGCGUCCCGCAUUCCCCCAUCCCCCCACCCGCAGCCCGGCACUUUCCAGCGGUUGGCUGUACCUCGAGAGCUGCCUUUGGGGCUGUCUCGCGGUGCGGGGGAGGGGGACAGGGAAGUCUGGCUGAGAGGUCUCUCAGCAUCUCAACGUCACAUCACAGGGUCUUGCGUCCUCCCCGAGUUUGCCUCGGCCCCAAAGUAGCAGUGUUACCGCCCCCCAUCAUCUUCACUUCUUCCUGCGAGGUGGGGGGGGGGG